UACGAAGGGAGCUAGCGUUGUUCGGAAUUACUGGGCGUAAAGCGCAUGCAGGCGGAUCGUUAAGUCGGGGGUGAAAUCCCAGGGCUCAACCCUGGAACUGCCUUCGAUACUGGCGAUCUUGAGUCCGGGAGAGGUGAGUGGAACUCCGAGUGUAGAGGUGAAAUUCGUAGAUAUUCGGAAGAACACCAGUGGCGAAGGCGGCUCACUGGCCCGGUACUGACGCUGAGAUGCGAAAGCGUGGGGAGCAAAC
rnacentral:rRNA from 1 species